AGUCAGUUCCUCCUGUCAACCUUCAUUUCUUAAUGAAACAGUUCAUACAAAAACUUCAGUCUCUUCAGUAACACCUGAACCUAAUUACAACCAGGUCAGGGAGAAGAACAGAGGAUCUUAUCAGAAUUACACAGGCACUACUGAUAGGAACAACUUGAAUAGAAAUCAAAGCGAGGAAUAUGCACUGGAUGAGGAAAGCAAGGACACCGUUUCAUUCUGUUCCUUGGACCAUUCCUCCUCACAAGAGGGCACCAUCAACAACAGCAAUCCUG